UAGGGAAGCUUCGUUCCUCGUUUGUGCGGUGUGCAAAGAUUGCACGCAAUUCCCGCUGUUCUCGGAGUGCCGAUGAAGUACGAGUCGUUCAAGGAAUCAACGAAAUGUGCGGGCGCUCGAAUGACUCCAUGGCUGACACCCGCGGCCACCUGCUACACGCCAGUGCGAAAGAAACUAAAGGUUGAUCUUAAGCAGAAAACCAGAAGUGGCAGUGGUCUCCAGAAGAGACCAAGGACCCCAAGCUCUCUCUGACACAAGCAGGAAGGGCACUGUGGUGCAUUGAAAACUUGCUCCAGUAGUGCAUUGCCAGUGCACUAUGCUGCUGUUUCAUCAAGGAGAAAGGAGGUGACCAGCCCGAGAGGAACUUCAUGCUCUACAGUAUGCCUACGGAGAACACCUCAAGGCGCAUCCAAGCAACGUCCUGGAGGCACAGCGCCACCGGAAUCUCAAUCGCCAUUUGGGGGACCUGCUUAAAGCCCUUAAG